rnacentral:rRNA from 1 species
AACCUUUAGCUAAACAAGCAUUAAAGGCAGCACCUGCCCAGUGAACAAUUAAACGGCCGCGGUACCCUAACCGUGCAAAGGUAGCGUAAUCACUUGUCUAUUAAUUGUAGACCCGUAUGAAAGGUAAAAUGAGGGCCCAACUGUCUCUUAUAAUAAAUCAAUUAAACUGAUCUCCCAGUACAAAAGCUGGAAUAUAACCAUAAGACCAGAAGACCCUGUGAAGCUUAAACUAACAUAUUAAACCUCGUAAUAUCUACUUUCGGUUGGGGCGACCUUGGAAAAAAAAAGAACUUCCAAUAAUAUGACCAUACAUCAUGCACAGGCCAACAGGCCUACAUAGACCCAGUAUAACUGAUAAUCGAACCAAGUUACUCCAGGGAUAACAGCGCCAUCUUCUUCAAGAGCCCAUAUCAAAAAGAAGGUUUACGACCUCGAUGUUGGAUCAGGACAUCCUAAUGGUGCAGCAGCUAUUAAGGGUUCGUUUGUUCAACGAUUAAUAGUCCU